rnacentral:rRNA from 1 species
AGCCUCAGCUCUAGCCCAACCAUGCAUCUACCACAGACUGGUUAAAAACCCGCUGACUGCUCCAUUAAACCAAAACAUUUCUUCUAACUUAGUAUAGGUGAUAGAAAAGGCACAUUUUGCGCAAUAGAAAUUUUCUUGUACCGCAAGGGAAAGAUGAAAUAGCAGUGAAAAACAAAGCUAUAAAUACCAAAGAUAAACCCUUGUACCUCUUGCAUCAUGAUUUAGCAAGAACAACCAAGUGAAACAAACUGAAGCUUGCCAUCCCGAAACCCGAGCAAGCUACUCGGGAGCAGCUACCCUUGAGCGAACCUGUCUCUGUUGCAAAAGAGUGGGACGACUUGUUAGUAGAGGUGAAAAGCCAACCGAGCCAGGUGAUAGCUGGUUGUCUGUAAAAUGAAUCUAAGUUCACUCUUAACCUCUCUCCACAAGAACAUACAAGCCCAAACUACUUUGUAGAAAGUCAAGAGCAAUUUAAAGGGGGUACAGCUCCUUUAAAAAGAAAACAAUCUCCCCCAGCGGAUAACCAGCACUUGCCCCAAAUCCUGUAGGCCCUUAAGCAGCCAUCAAUAAAGAGUGCGUCAAAGCUCACCAUAAAAAAAAUCCAAAAAUAACAGUGACUCCCUCACCCCUAACAGGUGAACCUAUGACAAUAGGAGAAUAAAUGCUAAAAUAAGUAACUAGGGCAUGCCCUCUUAAGCGCAAGCUUACAUCACCAUUAUUAACAGACCAAACUAAUACCACAAAUUCAACAAGAGCAAAUAUUUAACCCCCUGUUAACCCAACCCAGGAGCGCUCAACUAGAAAGAUUAAAACCUGUAAAAGGAACUAGGCAAAUCCAAGGCCCGACUGUUUACCAAAAACAUAGCCUUCAGCCCGUCAAGUAUUGAAGGUGAUGCCUGCCCAGUGACACCACGUUCAACGGCCGCGGGAUCCUAACCGUGCGAAGGUAGCGCAAUCAAUUGUCCCAUAAAUCGAGACUUGUAUGAACGGCUAAACGAGGCCUUAACUGUCUCUUACAGGUAAUCAGUGAAAUUGAUCUUCCUGUGCAAAAGCAGGAAUAGACGCACAAGACGAGAAGACCCUGUGGAACUUAAAAAUCAGCGGCCACCGUACAUCCAAAAUACUAAGCCCACUUGGCCUCUCCAUCCUCCCAAGCUCAGCUGGCCCGCAUUUUUCGGUUGGGGCGACCUUGGAGAAAAACGAAACCUCCAAAAAUAAGACCAUACAUCUUAACCAAGAACAACCCCUCAACGUACUAAUAGUAGUCAGACCCAGUAUAACUGAUCAAUGGACCAAGCUACCCCAGGGAUAACAGCGCAAUCUCCUUCAAGAGCCCCUAUCGACAAGGAGGUUUACGACCUCGAUGUUGGAUCAGGACACCCUAAUGGUGCAGCCGCUAUUAAGGGUUCGUUUGUUCAACGAUUAACAGUCCUACGUGAUCUGAGUUCAGACCGGAGUAAUCCAGGUCGGUUUCUAUCUGUGGUGGACUUUUCCCAGUACGAAAGGACCGGAAAAGUGAGGCCAAUACCAUAGGCACGCCUUACCCCCUAAGUAAUGAAUCCAACUAAAUUACCAAAAGUCCACUAACACACCAGUCCUAAAUAAGGCCG